CAGUAAAUCAGCUCCCCCCCCCAGACACUCUCUACUAAAGCAAUGUUUUGGGCUUUGUAAGUGUCAAGGCUUAAGAAGAGGCAACAUUCGGUUCUCUUACCAGUGAUUUCAGAUCGAUACCCCAUGUAAUACAAUUAUCUGCAAUGAUCUGGUUGUAUUGAAAAAGAAUUUGCAGUAGACCUCUAGGGGUUUUAUCUGGAAACGAGUAUCUGGCUAUGCUGUGAAUGGGAAAGCAGAAACAUAAGGCACUGACAUUGAUGAUCUAAAUGAAAACUCAAGGCAAUCAAGGCAAGUUAUUUACACUGAAUGGAAAAUACAGGUGACUACAGCAAAGCUAAAAUGGUAAUUCUAGUUGGAAACCCCUCUUUCUCUCGCCCAGAGAUGUUUGUUAGCACCUUAAAAAAUAUUAUAUCCAGGAUUCGGUUCAGGAUUCUGCCAGGAUUCAGUCUUUUUUCAGCAGGAUUUAGAUUCGCCCGAAUCCUUCUGCCUGGCCGAACCUAAUGCUAAUUUGAAUAUGCA